rnacentral:rRNA from 1 species
ACUCCUACGGGAGGCAGCAGUGGGGAAUUUUCCGCAAUGGGCGAAAGCCUGACGGAGCAAUACCGCGUGAGGGACGAAGGCUUUUGGGUCGUAAACCUCUUUUCUCAAGGAAGAUGAUGACGGUACUUGAGGAAUAAGCAUCGGCUAACUCUGUGCCAGCAGCCGCGGUAAU